rnacentral:rRNA from 1 species
GAUGAACGCUGGCGGCGUGCCUAAUACAUGCAAGUCGAGCGAACAGACGAGGAGCUUGCUCCUCUGACGUUAGCGGCGGACGGGUGAGUAACACGUGGAUAACCUACCUAUAAGACUGGGAUAACUUCGGGAAACCGGAGCUAAUACCGGAUAAUAUAUUGAACCGCAUGGUUCAAUAGUGAAAGACGGUUUUGCUGUCACUUAUAGAUGGAUCCGCGCCGCAUUAGCUAGUUGGUAAGGUAACGGCUUACCAAGGCGACGAUGCGUAGCCGACCUGAGAGGGGGAUCGGCCACAAUGGAACUGAGACAAGGUCCAGACUCCUACGGGAGGCAGCAGUAGGGAAUCUUCCGGAAUGGGCGAAAGCCUGACGGAGCAAAGCCGCGUGAGUGAUGAAGGUCUUCGGAUCGUAAAACUCUGUUAUUAGGGAAGAACAAAUGUGUAAGUAACUAUGCACGUCUUGACGGUACCUAAUCAGAAAGCCACGGCUAACUACGUG